rnacentral:pre_miRNA from 1 species
AAAGUACUCCCUCCGUUCGGAAUUACUUGUCGCAGAAAUGGAUGUAUCUAGACGUAUUUUAGUUUUAGAUACAUCCAUUUCCGAGACAAGUAAUUCCGAACAGAGGGAGUAGGUU